GAAUAAUUUUACUGUACUCGUACUUCCAGCCUUGAAGUAAUACGAACUAUUUUACUGGUCUUGUCAGGAGUCCUUUCCUGCACACUGGAGAGGUGUUAUGAAGUGAUAUCAUGAUGUAACAUCACCUCGGAGUUUCGAAGCGGCCGCUCGUAAACACCCACAAGGAACGUAUGUUUCACGUUUGUGGCUGACUUGACAAGGAGUAUGGUCAUCAAUGUCACAGUAGUGUGGUGACUUCCGGUUCACGUGGCAGUGGCAAUAAGGAACUACUGUGCAGCAUGUGGCUGUCUCCCUGCCUACAGACCUAUGUCAGCCAAAGUGCACAUCAUGUGCAGGUUGCUGGUUAUGGCCAGCAAUUAUCUCACAUUUGCUCCCACGCAGCACUGCUAAGGGUGCCAUGGACAGACUACGAUAAACUGCCUAAUUGAAGCAGCACGGAGAUUCUUAGUUGUGAGCAAUCUCUUCGCCAGCCGGCUUAUUACAGUGUGGAGAUUGGAGAAGCUGGAGACACAGAUACCACAAGGAACUUGUAAAUCCCUUGGCAAUCUGGAUUUAUUGCCAUUGUUGUUUGGAUCACUAAGAUGCUAUGAUCCUAGGCUUGCAGACUAUGCGGGCUGCCUGAUAAUAGAGAUAGUGCAGGCACUACAAUUGACACUGACGAUGGCAAGCUCACAGUGGAGAUAGUGCAGGCACUGCAAUUGGCACUGUCGAUGGCAAGCUCACAGUGGAGAUCAACCACACCUCCAGAUUCAUAAUGCCCAUCAGAAGAAAAAGAAACAAUAGCUGCCACCUCUUAUUGUAUAGAUCUGGUAAGUUGCUUUCUUUUGUUCUUGUAUUGUCAUUCCCAGGCCGGUGUACCAAUCCCUAUCCAUAUCGUACACAUACUUUACUUGUGUCUGGUCAACGGAGGCUCUGAGGCACUGUGUUAACGUUUUAUUUUAUUAUAUUGGUUUUGUCACAGAUAAACAGUCAAAUACUAAUAAUUAUUGAUAAUGAAAAGUCAGGCCUGUCACUCGAGUUGAACCUUGGUGUGAAAGUUGUAGCCUGCAGGAACGGUGACCUGGUGAUUUGUGUACGUAUGAACACGAGACCGCUUAUUCCACCACGUUCAAUUGGGAAUAAGGGCCGAACGCUGCAUCGCAGCCUUUUCGGACCAAAACCAGUCGACUCAGCGUCCAGAAGGCUACCACAUAUGGGCUGCAGUCGUCCGUGCUCUUAUAAUCGCGAAAUGGUGCUUUUAGUGACAUUUUGCAUACAAAUCCCCAUCUAGUAGGGCGCAGUCGCCCAGUUUCGGUGGAAGUGGCAAGUUCGAUUGGGAAUAAAGGAGAAAGGGAGCGUCUCAGUUUCCUCGGACCAAGACUAUUCGACUUAGCACCCCAGAAAUUGCGGCAAAAUCAGAGCAAACUUGAUGAUGAGCAAACUUGAUAUCGAGAUUUUGGGUAAAAUCGAUGCCUGAUACAAAGAUUUCCUUGUUUUUUACCCGCUCAGCGUGAUAUGCUGCACAGAACGCUUUGUUAAAAACUUCCCAUCGAUCAGUCAAUUGUACGGAUUUUCCUCCGUCCUAUGACCCUGCCUGUGUUGUCGCACCGAGAUAUCCGUCCCUUUUUGUCUUUUGAACUUGAUAAUAUGUUCAUCCAUCCCAUUGCUUUUGUUUUCGCUCGCUGCUGAGCUCAUUACAAUCAUGAUGCUCGUUUGUCCGGAAAUACCCCUUAAUAACAUGGGCACUCCAGCCUUUGGGUUAUCCGUAAUUAUCAACAAAUAAAAGAAAAGAACAGAUCAGUUCACCGAAA